GAACGGACCAUAACACUAAGAGUAUCAUACAAAAAUGGAACGUAGGAAGUAGUAGAUUAAUCCCGCACCCGCUCUUUAAACGUCGAAAUUUUCAUGAUCAACUACAUUAAAUGGUCAUCACAUUCUUUAGCGACGCCAUCACACUUCCAAUCAUUUCGGUGCACUUCAGUCACUUGGGUGCUCUUUUGGACAACACAUAAAGAAAGAA
rnacentral:lncRNA from 1 species